UACGAAGGGGGCUAGCGUUGCUCGGAAUGACUGGGCGUAAAGGGCGCGUAGGCGGAUGGCACAGUCAGAUGUGAAAUUCCCGGGCUUAACCUGGGGGCUGCAUUUGAUACGUGUUGUCUAGAGUGAGGAAGAGGGUUGUGGAAUUCCCAGUGUAGAGGUGAAAUUCGUAGAUAUCGAGAAGAACACCGGUGGCGAAGGCGGCCAUCUGGACGGUGACUGACGCUGAGACGCGAAAGCGUGGGGAGCAAACAGG
rnacentral:rRNA from 1 species